CGGGGACUAGUUCAUCGGUAGAACGCUCGAUUCGGGUUCGAGAGGCAGAGGGUCCAAUUCCCUCGUCCCCGA
rnacentral:tRNA from 5 species